rnacentral:rRNA from 1 species
ACGGAGGGUGUAAACGUUGCUCGGAAUUAUUGGGCGUAAAGCGCGCGUAGGCGGUCUGUUAAGUUGGAUGUGAAAGCCCGGGGCUCAACCCCGGAAGUGCACCCAAAACUGCCAGACUAGAAUCUCGGAGGGGGUCGGAGAAUUCCCGGUGUAGAGGUGAAAUUCGUAGAUAUCGGGAGGAAUACCAGUGGCGAAGGCGCCGACCUGGACGAUGAUUGACGCUGAGGUGCGAAAGCAUGGGGAGCAAACAGG